rnacentral:rRNA from 1 species
GACGAACGCUGGCGGCGUGCCUAACACAUGCAAGUCGAGCGGAGAUGAUGUGAGGAAGUUUUCGGAUGGAAUCACAUUAUUUUAGCGGCGGACGGGUGAGUAACGCGUGAGCGACCAACCUUGCACAGGGGGAUAACGGACCGAAAGGUUCACUAAUACCGCAUGAGACCACGGUGUUGCAUGACACAGAGGUCAAAGGAGAGAUCCGGUGCAAGACGGGCUCGCGUCCGAUUAGGUAGUUGGAGGGGUAACGGCCCACCAAGCCUAUGAUCGGUAGCCGACCUGAGAGGGUGAUCGGCCACAUUGGAACUGAGAUACGGUCCAAACUCCUACGGGAGGCAGCAGUGGGGAAUAUUGGGCAAUGGGGGAAACCCUGACCCAGCAACGCCGCGUGAAGGAAGAAGGUUUUCGGAUUGUAAACUUCUGUCCUUGGUGAAGAGAAGAAGACGGUAGCCAAGGAGGAAGCCCCGGCUAACUACGUGCCAGUCGCCGCAGUAA